CCUACGGGAGGCAGCAGUAGGGAAUCUUCCGCAAUGGACGCAAGUCUGACGGAGCAACGCCGCGUGAGUGAUGAAGGUUUUCGGAUCGUAAAGCUCUGUUGCCCUAGACGAACAGCAGGGGGAGUAACUGCCCUCUGUGUGACGGUAUAGGAGAAGAAAGCCCCGGCUAACUACGUGCCAGCAGCCGCGGUAAU
rnacentral:rRNA from 1 species